GCGGCCUACUUCAAAAUCCUCUGUUGAGAGAGAGAGGGUUGUAAUAUUUAAAAAUAUCAUAAAUGUAUUUUUUAUAUAAAAAAUAUAUUAUUUACAUUUGAUAUUUAUCAUAAAAAAGUAGGGAAAUUUUUAAUGACAUUUUGCCUCUAACUCGCUCAUCACGCAAAACUGAGCAUUGGUGCUCUCUUGCCCUCAUACAAAGUAGUCAUUAGACUCAAGCAGCAACGCCAGCAGAGUUUUCUCUUGCUACCCUUGAAAAAUUAGGAUAAUAUAAAAUUGAUGAGACGUUUGCACUUAUUAAAGCCGGAGUCUAGUAGCUACAGCAACAGUUAGUUCUCUUCAAGCGAAAUAACUCAGAAAUAAGAGACGCACUCAGCAUCCCAAUUCAACAACAUCAGCGACGAUCGCGAGAAACGAAGCAGACCGAGCAGGCAACGCUGCUGGCGUCGCGGUCGCUGGUUGGGAUUUUGAGUGUCAUUUGUAUGGGGACGAAUAAUAAUCACACUCAACGCGCAAGAGCGGCGCUCUCGGCUUGGCGCUCCAGGUCUCUCUGGGCACGUUUUACAGCAACAUUUAAGCACAGAUGGGGCAACAUUUGAACACGCUUGAAAAAGGACACUAUACAAUGGUUGAGAUGAAGCUCCAUUCCCUCCAUGAAGGGAAGCUCCAUACUCAACAAAACAUUUCCCUGCAACAGUACUAGGAUUACCAGUAACUUGCAAGUAGAAUUGGCCAACAUUUGGUUUCUAGGUUUAUCAACAAACUAUCACUCUCGUGCAUCGUUUACAUUUGAUUACAUAGAAACAUAGGGUAUGGAAACUUUCAUACCAGCUCUCCCAAUUGAGUGUAAUUGCUAUUUUCAAAAUAACAAUCAGCUCAAAAAAUAACAAACACUCAAGGCGCGAGCGGCGCUCAAAAUCACACUCAAAAUCCGAAGCGACAGCGACGCCAGCAGCGAUGGCGCGUCGGGCGACGGGUUGUACGGUGGUUGUGGAAAAAUGUAAAAGGAGACACUGUGGACUUUUGCUGCCUCAAUCUUUUCUCGGCCGCGGCAACGAAACAACAGAAAUUUGGUUAAAAUUUUGGCGGUUGGCGCUUUUAACCGAAUUCAGAAAAGUAGUUCCGUUUCCGUUGAUAUUAUCCCACAAAACCAUCCUAACUAUUAUUCUUCCCUUUUUGGCUCAAUUGACACCACAAAAAAAAAACAACAACAAAACACACAGCAACAACAAAAUCCUAAAAAACAAAAACCCUUUUUUGGAACAAGGAAAACACAAAUUCGAGCGCAAAAAAAAACCCAAUGUAAAAUUUCACAACAAAACUGUUUUCAACAAAUUAAACAACGAAGAAAAAAUAAAAACGGAGAACGGUGAAAAGACCCACAACAAAAGCAAAAAAAAAAGCCAUAAGUAAAACAUAAGAAAUGCUAACUCGACAACACGAAAAAGUAAUUAAAAAUAAAAACAAAAAAUAACUAAAAACUCGCCAGAUCCCUGACCAGCCAAAAGUUAUUCCGGGCUCAGCAAAAGUUUUGUUUCUUCGACCAAGAGCAAAUAAAUAAACAAACAAAACCAAAUCGAAAAACCAAACAACAAAAAAUCAACACACGCAUUUUUAAAAAUUAAUCUGUCAAGGACAUGUGUGAAUCGAUUAAUUGAGCGAGCAAAACAGAAAAAGUUCCAUCAUUCCAUCCUCCCACCAAACAAAACACCAAACACACAUGAAAAACAGGG